GAAAAUAAGGGUACAAUUGUGUUUAAAUAUCAUAUUUGCAUAGUCACAUUUCACUAUCAGUAAUGUUGAUGUUAACUAUAUAAGCAGUAAACGUAUUGGAUAAGCAUUGGAAUUAGCAAAUUCAAUUACAUGCAUAAAACUGCAAGCAUUCACCUCUGCGACUCGUUACGCUAUUUAAUAAACCAGUGCAUUUGAGAACAGCCGCGGAGAAAAUAGUGUUUGAUUUAGAUGCGUUUAAUGUAACUCAUCUUUUUGGAUUCAGGUAACAAAUACUAAGGGGAAAAUGUAAAGCUAUUUUGAUCAUAUCUUGGAAAUUCAGUUACGUCCUAUUUCAUUGGUUGAAAUGUUCAUAGGCGGGUUAUGCUUAAUCGGUAGGCGCAUCAGUCGUCCUUCUUCUAGCGCCCUCUCCCCACGGCUUCUGUCAGUAUAGCCUGAGCAUUUAUCAGUUGAAAUUUAAUAUUUAGUACUGUAGAAGAUUAUGUAUUAAAGUUCUGGUAUUCUAAUUACUAUGGAGAGCUCUGAAUCUUGUUUUUUUUAAAGAGUAACCAACCAGACAAGAGUCCUAAAGGAAUUGAAGAUAUAGAACGUGCUGAAAUACAUGCUUCUUUCUUCCCGUUUUAAAAGCAUUAUAUUUUUAUUUUCCUUUUUUUUUACAUUUCUCUCUGCUCGUGAUUUUAGAACGAAUCACAGAGAAAGUCCCAAAUCAAUAGGCAUGCGAGAAGCAACAAGUCAGCCUCAGUUUUGCACUUAGUUCAGAUUACGAUCCAUUCCGCCGCUUCUCUGUUUCUGUAUUCAUUGGGAAGUGUUCAUUAUGGGGCAGCUUAAGCAAUAAUAGUCGGAAAUAAUACUUGAUUGUUCUUGUUUCAAAAAUCGGAGCUCCUCUUCUGUGCCUCCAGUUUCUGACUUUGAAUUAAUGCAGGACUUCAACUGAAAUUAAAUCCUACAACAUGUUUAGUAAUGCGUGAACAUUUGCAAAGUAUGCGUAGCAUACUUAAAGUACUGGGAAUUCUAAAUCCGAAAAUUCCGGUCACCAUUUUUCCGGUCAAAGCUACUUUUCAAUUGACCACUAUAAAGCGGAAGCUUCACUCAAAGGACUGGGCCAUAUCUAAUUCAAGCAAUAUUUCAAUUAUAAAAUUCGCUUCUGUUCAAACGAAAGUGAGAGGUUUAGUUUGAUUUAAGCAAUCGAAGAUAUACAAUUCAGCGGGGUCUGUUAAGAAUAUUUCAACGAAUUAAUGCAGUUGUACCCUGUAAAACAGCAUGACGAAAAUCACGUUACUAUGCGAAAAGACGGGAAAACGAAAUUUAAUUUUAAAAAAGAUUGACCAUGGAAUGUUCAACAAACAAGAUACACGUGUAGAAACACAAAAGAUAAUUUAUUUAAAUGACAGGAUCUUGAGUAUACAUGAAGAAACUUUCUUUCUAUAAAACAAUAAAACUAUGUUUAAACAAUGUUUGCGCUGGUAUGAGUCUGUGCUAACCACUUACAAAAGCUUCAAUCAAUAAUGGCCCAAAGAUUUAAACUUUUCUUGCGCCUAAUUUUGUGAAUUGCGUGUCUUCUGGUUUGCGAAUUGUGCGGAGCCCCCGUCUAUUUGGUCUGCAUAGCAACGGGCCCCAGUUAAAGAUACUGUUCAUAGCUUCCCACUGUAAAUCAUAACUCUGUCUCGGUCAGUAUGAAGUUCUUGCUAGAAAUUUCACCUUCACUGACAAUGAAGUGUUAACUAAUUAUAGAGGGAAUAAGAGCAUGGGGGUGGGGGUCGUAAAAGGGUUACUGGUAUAGGUCUUCCUCCUUUCACUUCUGCGUGCUCUUCAAUUCUCGAAAACAAGUCUAUCAUUUAGGAUUCAGCCCCGAGCACGAAGCACUUCAUGAAGCAGUAUGGUAAAGAAUUCCUCGAUGCUUUACAUAUUCAAAAAGGCAGCGUCUGUCUCAGGUGACAUGUCGAUCUCCCAUUAAAACGCUUGGCACAUUGCAAUUAUUAGAAUGAAAGAAAUGAAACGGUAAGUAGAGAUAGAUCUUCACAGCGCAACGUAAUGACAACUGGAAUUUAAAUAGUCUGUAUAGUUCUGUUGUGAGUCCUAGGUAUACUAAAGAAGGGAUUAUUCCGUUUGAUUUUAUUUUGUUUUGUUCUUGGAUAUAUCUGCUCAGCUCUAAAACCAACAGAAUUCCCCCCCCCCCCGACCGAAUGGCUGUAAUUAUAUCAAAAUCGUUUUAUUUAAUCCGUAUCACAAUAAUCAAUUUAUAAACUGUUUUGAAUCACCCACACAAUACAGGCCACUUACUGGUUUAGGGAACUGAUGGAGGCGAUGUUAGAGGGGCUACAUUAAGAUUACAAGGUACGCUAUCAUCCACUAGUAAAUGUAAACAGUGCAGAAUAUUAGGUCAGGCAUGCGGGAGUCGCGUUUGCACGGACUAGAACAGAGGCUUGUUACUGCGUGAAUGGAUUCACCCAGAUGUAACCGAACCGAGAGAAAGUAAUCACAAGAAAUCCUAAAUCUCGAAUUAUAUUUCAAUACCAAAUCCAUAUACUAAGUACUAAAUAUUUUGCCUGCAUCUGUUAAAGAAUCUUUCGUUUACAAAUAUUCUCUCAAAACGCAGGAGUGAUUUGAUCCAUGAUCAGACUUGCAAACAGACAGUCCGGUUGUGAUCCACGUCAAUGCGAUUAGAAUUAGGUUUUCGGUGACUCCCAUUAAAUCCAAGUUAUUUUACCACCACGUGCGUAAGUGUUGUUUUAAUAAUAUAUAGAGAUAGCUUGCCAGUCGGUGCAAGGCUCGUAACGUCGCAGCCCAACCAACUUGUUUUACGAUGGCGUUCUCUCAGCCAGCGCAGUCUGCGCACAAUCCAUCAGCUCCCUCUCCCCUCAGCCCCUGUCCGACUGCCAAGUUCAAAUUACUUCGCCAUUAUUCUUUCCCUCAUUUGACCCUUUUCACCGACACGAGCUGGGAAUGCACUCCUCUCACUUUACCGCCUGUUUGGUUCAAGUUCGUUAAAACGUGCCCCAAAGCUAGCCAGCGAACGUUUAAUUUCCAUUUCCCCUCUUUUGCUCCUGACACUCCCUAAUACACUCCAGCCUUCUCUAAUUGAUUGAUUUUUUUUUCAAGCUGAUAUCUCUCACUAAUUUCCAGGACUCCGUUAAACGCGCACGUCUUUUCCUUUGGCUGCUAUGCAAUUAGUCUUGCGAACAAUCUUAAACAAACGUUUAGCAACGUCAGCUUGUCCAACAUCAUUUCCACACACGUCAAUCUAGAUUCAUUUUUUAUUUACAAUCCCCCAUUAUUUCUGGCGAAUUGAAAUUCUAAUAUUGCCCGUCGAAUUUUAAGUAACUAUGUGUAAUUUUCGCUGUGGGAAAUCUGCUCUCCCCGAAAAGCAUUUCAAUACUCGCCAAAGCAGAAUAUAUUCCACGAUCCCAGAGCCGUUUGUUCAUUAUUCAUUUAUUUUAAAUGUAUGUGGAAUCAAAU